UUCAUUUAAGACCUGGCCAAUGACGGAUCUUGAACUCAGAAACCGUAACAUGGUUUGGAUUCUCUGGUGAACUCACAAGGGGAAGACAACCCAUAACAAUAUUGAAAGGUUGCAAGACAGGCGGAGGGUCCCAAACCUCCUAAUCCUAUCCAGAUUCGAGCAGGAUACCUUGGAGCUGGAGAGGCACCACACACCUCGGUCAACCGGUUGCUGAGAGGCUGGGGUGUCACAUGAAGAUUCACCAGCAGGUGUUCAUUUCCCGGACCCCGAAGAGCCACCCUGAUGCCAGAGGACCACCGGUCUUCAGCUGUACCUGUGUCACACCCACUCGCUGAACAAGGCACUAGUGCAGAUACCAGCACCUCGGUGGGCAUUGGAUCCUUGGCUAGAAUGUCGGAACACAGAGGUAAGGGCACUUCACACUCACCUGAGGAGCAGGUAGAGUCAGAGAGCUCCCAGGGCACUGACAGUCGGAGGGCUGCUGCAGACCAGGACGAUGCUGAGUCAAAGGUAGAUGAUCGGCCUCUGGAGUUGUCCUUUAGACGGCAGAUGCUGGAUGUCCAGCAGGGUGUGUGGGAGGAUCUGGU